rnacentral:rRNA from 1 species
CUACGGGGUGCUCCAGUCGAGAAUAUUUGACAAUGGGCGGAAGCCUGAUCAAGCGACGCCGCGUGCAGGAAGACGCUUUUCGGAGUGUAAACUGCUUUUCAUGGGGAUGAAGAUCGCCUUUUGGUGGUUUGACAGUACCCAUGGAAUAAGGAACGGCUAACUUCGUGCCAGCAGCAGCGGUAAUACGAAGGUUCCGAGCGUUAUCCGGAUUUAUUGGGCGUAAAGGGUGUGUAGGGGGCUAUGUGCGUCUGUUGUUAAAACUCACUGCUCAACGGGGAGAUCGCGAUGGAUACGGCAUAGCUAGAGGAUGCGAGAGGCUUGCGGAACGCACGGUGUAGGGGUGAAAUCCGUUGAUAUCGUGCGGAACACCAAAGGCGAAGGCAGCAAGCUGGCGCAUUUCUGACCCUGAGACACGAAAGCGUGGGGAGCAAAAAGGAUUAGAUACCCCAGUAGUC